GACGAGCGCUGGCGGCGUGCUUAACACAUGCAAGUCGAACGGAAAGGCCCUGCUUUUGUGGGGUGCUCGAGUGGCGAACGGGUGAGUAACACGUGAGUAACCUGCCCUUGACUUUGGGAUAACUUCAGGAAGCUGGGGCUAAUACCGGAUAGGAGCUCCUGCUGCAUGGUGGGGGUUGGAAAGUUUCGGCGGUUGGGGAUGGACUCGCGGCUUAUCAGCUUGUUGGUGGGGUAGUGGCUUACCAAGGCUUUGACGGGUAGCCGGCCUGAGAGGGUGACCGGCCACAUUGGGACUGAGAUACGGCCCAGACUCCUACGGGAGGCAGCAGUGGGGAAUAUUGCACAAUGGGCGGAAGCCUGAUGCAGCAACGCCGCGUGCGGGAUGACGGCCUUCGGGUUGUAAACCGCUUUCGCCUGUGACGAAGCGUGAGUGACGGUAAUGGGUAAAGAAGCACCGGCUAACUACGUG
rnacentral:rRNA from 1 species